AAAAAAAAGAAAAAAGUUGCUAUGGCAAACAAGAAUCAUAAGAAGAGAAGUUGGCCCCAAUUCCAAAUAUCAUAUUGUGAGGUCUACUUUUUGAGUAGGAGAGAGAACAAGUGAAGAAGCCUUUGUUUUGUUGCCCCCAAUUCACAAAGCUUUCAUCUUCAUCACCCUCAAACCCUCAUCACACACACACUCUCUCUCCACGAUUAAUCUCUGCGAUUGAUUGGUUUCACAUCCAACAUUUCGCCACAAUUUCGCAAUCAGGAGACGAUAACUUUACAUGAUUUGACUCUGUUUCCUCUGCUAUCUCUGUAACUCGGGUAACUAUGGAGGGAUCGGGGCGUGGUGGGAGCAGCGUGGAAUCAUUUUUACGCAAUUAUAAGCUUGGGAAAACGCUUGGUAUCGGUUCAUUCGGAAAAGUCAAAAUUGCAGAGCAUACGUUGACCGGACACAAAGUUGCUAUAAAGAUUCUAAACCGUCGCAAGAUCAAAAACAUGGAAAUGGAAGAAAAAGUAAGAAGAGAGAUCAAGAUAUUGAGAUUGUUUAUGCAUCCACAUAUUAUCCGUCUAUACGAGGUUGUAGAGACACCAUCAGAUAUUUACGUUGUUAUGGAAUACGUGAAAUCUGGCGAGCUGUUCGAUUACAUCGUGGAAAAGGGAAGAUUGCACGAGGAUGAAGCUCGCAACUUUUUUCAGCAGAUAAUUUCCGGUGUGGAGUAUUGCCACCGGAAUAUGGUGGUACACAGAGAUCUUAAACCUGAGAAUCUGUUAUUAGAUGCCAAAUGCAAUGUCAAAAUCGCCGAUUUUGGUUUGAGUAAUAUCAUGCGUGACGGUCAUUUUCUAAAAACAAGUUGCGGGAGUCCAAAUUAUGCAGCUCCAGAGGUUAUAUCUGGGAAACUGUAUGCUGGACCCGAGGUUGAUGUAUGGAGCUGUGGUGUGAUCUUGUACGCACUUCUCUGUGGGACCCUUCCUUUUGACGAUGAAAAUAUUCCGAAUUUGUUUAAGAAAAUUAAGGGUGGAAUAUAUACCCUUCCUAGCCAUUUAUCACCCGGCGCUAGAGAUUUGAUCCCGAGGUUGCUUGUGGUUGACCCGAUGAAACGUAUGACGAUUCCCGAGAUCCGUGCGCACCUAUGGUUCCAAGCCCACCUGCCCUGCUACUUAGCCGUCUCUCCACCCGAUUCUACUCAGCAAGUGAAAAAGACUGAUGAAGAUAUUCUUACAGAGGUGAUUAAGAUGGGGUUUGACAGGGAUGCACUUGUUGAGUCACUUCGCAACCGAGUGCAGAAUGAGGGUACCGUUGCAUAUUACUUGCUACUGGACCAUAGGUUGCGUAACUCCAAUAGUUAUCUUGGAGCCGAGUUCCAGAAACCUGUGGAGGGGUACAACCGUAAUUAUCCAAACGAGGCUGCCACAUCACCUAUCGCGCAACGCCCACCUGGAUUCAUGGAAUAUCAAGGAAUAAAUACGAGCCAGGUCGAGAGGAAAUGGGCUCUCGGGCUUCAGUUGGUUGGUUAAUGGUAUAAGUAUUCAUGGCUCAUUUCAACAGUCGCGGGCCCAUCCUCGGGAGAUAAUGACAGAAGUUUUAAAGGCCUUACAAGAACUAAACGUGUGCUGGAAGAAAAUAGGACACUACAACAUGAAAUGCAGGUGGGAUCCGAACCAUAAAGACGGCCCAAUAAACAACAAUGGCAUGCAGAGUAGUCAUUACUUUGGAGAUGAGUCAACCAUAGUCAAUGCUGACGUCACCUCAACAUCACCCAAUGUUGUCAAAUUUGAAGUCCAGCUUUAUAAAACCCGUGAGGAGAAGUAUCUGCUUGAUCUACAGAGGGUUAACGGGCCGCAAUUUCUGUUUCUGGAACUCUGUGCUGCAUUUCUCGCCCAGCUUCGUGUCCUCUAGAAGAUUCUAGAAUGCGCGUGGUAACCUGAAAUGAAGGACGGCUUUCUCCGGGGUGCUUGUGAAGGAAAGCUAGGAUGUAUAUACCAAAGUUCUCGCUUUGGGUUCUUUGUUAUAAUCUGUUGUUAGCAAAUGUUGUGAGCUGAUCGGGUUUUGUAACUCAUUAGGAGUAUGGGUUUACGCCUCGUUUUUUUUAACCCGGAUAUGUUGUUAGUUGUUUUGUUUUAUAAGUUUUAACCCUUAGCUUGUUUUGGUUCAGAAUAAGAGUAUGUUGUAACUUACAGCCAUCUAUGGAUUGGCUCUGAAGAUGUGAAGAACAUUAAUAAGAAAGAGAACCACAACUUCAACUAAA